AUUGAACGCUGGCGGCAUGCUUUACACAUGCAAGUCGAACGGUAACAGGCCGCAAGGUGCUGACGAGUGGCGAACGGGUGAGUAAUGCAUCGGAACGUGCCCAGACGUGGGGGAUAACUACUCGAAAGAGUGGCUAAUACCGCAUACGAUCUCUGGAUGAAAGCGGGGGACCGUAAGGCCUCGCGCGAUUGGACCGGCCGAUGUCAGAUUAGGUAGUUGGUGGGGUAAAGGCUCACCAAGCCAACGAUCUGUAGCUGGUCUGAGAGGACGACCAGCCACACUGGGACUGAGACACGGCCCAGACUCCUACGGGAGGCAGCAGUGGGGAAUUUUGGACAAUGGGCGCAAGCCUGAUCCAGCAAUGCCGCGUGCAGGAAGAAGGCCUUCGGGUUGUAAAGUGCUUUUGUACGGAACGAAACGGCUCUGGUUAAUACCCGGGGCUAAUGACGGUACCGUAAGAAUAAGCACCGGCUAACUACGUG
rnacentral:rRNA from 1 species